ACCCCGGCCUGGGAUGAUGGCUCACGCCUAUAAUCUCAGCACUUUGGGAGGCUGAGGCAAGAGGAUUGCUUGAGCCCGGGAGGUAGAGGCUGCAUUCAGCAGUGAGGGCAUCACUGCACUCCAGCCUGGGUGACAUAGUGAGACCCUGUCUCAAAAAAAAAAAAAAAAAAAGGCAAGAAAGAAAGGAAUCGUGAUCCACAGCUGCUGCAAUGAUUCAAUUAGUGUAAGACCACCUCCUCUUCCUUCAUCAUUCCCUCCAGCUAAGAUGAGGGUGGAGCCAGUAGCUGGGAAGUUGGCUUGCCAGUAGGUCAUCUGGAGAAGUAAUCCUGCCAAGAUCACACCACAGGGCCUGUCCUGUGACCUGUUUUGACCAAGAGAAUACAUCAAAAGUGUCUCUGGGCCUGGUCUGGGCACAGGCUUAAAGUCUGACACCUUCCACUUUCAUGACUGGGGUGUCCGGAGCCAUCAUAUUAGACGUCCACCUGCCUUCCAUCAUAUGUUGAGGAGGAGUCUGCAACUAUGUGGAGAGGGGAUUCUCAGCAUUCCAGAUGACCUGCCUACUGAAUGCAGCCAUGUGAAGACCAGCAG
rnacentral:lncRNA from 1 species